CAGCAUCAUCGAUCCAUUGGAUCUCUUACGUCCAUGCUUCUUGAGGGAGCUGAGUCUGCCCUAACUUUUUGUCAAAAUUUAUAACCUCUAGUAAAUGAAAGAAAGACUGCUGUUAUAACACAGCAUUUAACAAAUUUUUAAUGCGCAGUCAUUCUAACAGCGCUUUGAUAUAUAAGUCUUUCAAUUAGAGUUACUUAUUCAAUCUUUGAAGUGUGCCAACGCUGCUGGUGGUGAAAUAGAAUUUGCUUAUCGAACUGGUGGAGAAGCUACUUUCCUGGAUGGAAAGCUAUUUGAACAUCGUUUAGCCAGAGAAACGGGGAGUUCAGCAAAGAAGAAAAACAACUCCAAUUUCGAAUUCCGUCACCAUCUGACUGGAAGAAUCAGCUUGAUAUUUCAAAAAAAACUUAAACUGGGCAAAAACCAUUUCAUUGUGAAAAUAGCUCAAACUCUAUUCGCACAAAGACGUCGAAAGAACACGAAAGAUCCCGUGCUGGAAAAGUUACAAUGGAAAUCCAUGAAGUAAGAUUUCCCAAUGAAGUGAUUAUUCCUCGAAACGGGUUCUUGUCGCGUGGUUUCACAUCACGAUUCCUUGUGAAAGCUUUUGUCCAGCUUUUACAAUGAAAUGGUUUUUCCCCAGUAAACUGGGGAAAAUCAUUUCAUUGUAAAAGCUGUACAAGAGGUUUCACUCCUAGAAGUAGAAAGUUAGUGUCAGAAAACUUAUUGUUGGUAAUUUUACUUCAAGAAUGAUAGCUUCUAAGGUAUUUUUCUGUGAACAACGAUCGACUUAUCAAUUUAGUAUUAGAAAAGAGUUUAACAAUCUCUUCAUAAUUAAUCCAGUGCAGAAUUGCAAAUGAUUUUAUCAGAAUGUCAACACUUCUAUACAAUUUAAAAUGUGCAUGUAGAAAAGUAAUAAACAAAUAUUGAAACACAGA